GCUUACGGCCAUACCACCCUGGAAAUGCGCGAUCUCAUCUGAACUCGGAAGUAAAGCAGGGUCGGGCCUGGUUAGUACUUGGAUGGGAGACCGCCUGGGAAUACCAGGUGCUGUAAGCU
rfam:Danio rerio chromosome 4, GRCz11 reference primary assembly.